AAAAUGGACACUCUCACCAAUUCAGGGGGGAUGAACGAGAGCCAAAAACUUCAUAACUAGAGGUGGCUGAGCUCCACCCGAUACACUGCUGUAUGGAGAGGACUCCGAAGACACAGAGGAGGGUGGAAUGGCAAGACCGAAGAAGGCUGGGUUCCUGCAUGAGUAGGUGGAGCAGAACUUCUAGCUCUACCCACCUGCCACCACCAACCUACAAUGGACUAUGAUGCGAUUAAGAAUAAAAAUUCAUUGUUAAGUCA